AUCUUUUUCCUGGGAUUUUUGAUACAAAAAACAAUAUAUGGCCAAUCAGUAGCUUAUGUUAUUUUAAUGUAAAUUCUUGAUAACUUAGAAACUGCCUCUUCCUUUAAAAGCCCACUUGUCACUGCUGCUGAUGGGAGCAUAUAUUCAGGGCAACUUGAAUCGAUGUUCCUGGGUUGCAGUUCUCAAACUUGGCCGGAAUAAACUCUACAAUCCUGUUUUUACUUAUUUUAUAGUAAGAUUUAAUUGUUUUGAAAACAAAGUAUGCAUUUUGUUGUCUUCCUGUUUGGGGCAACUUCGUUAAUAUGAGGUCUAUCCAGGAAAAUGGUGAACUAAAAAUUGAAAGCAAGAUUGAAGAGAUGGUUGAACCACUAAGAGAGAAAAUCAGAGAUUUAGAAAAAAGCUUUACCCAGAAAUACCCACCAGUAAAGUUUUUAUCAGAAAAGGAUCGGAAAAGAAUUUUG
rnacentral:sRNA from 1 species